rnacentral:rRNA from 1 species
GAUGAACGCUGGCGGCAUGCCUAAUACAUGCAAGUCGAGCGAAGCGGGGACGGGUGAUUAACACGUGGAUAACCUCCUAUAAGACUGGGUUAACUUCGGGAAACCGGAGCUAACCCGGAAACUUAUAGAUGGAUCCUCGCUGCAUUAGCUAGUUGGUACGGUAACGGCUUACCAAGGCAACGAUGCAUAGCCGACAUGAGAGGGUGAUCGGCCACACUGGAACUGAGACACGGCCCAGACUCCUACGGGAGGAAGCAGUAGGGAAUCUUCCGCAAUGGGCGAAAGCCUGACGGAGCAACGCCGCGUGAGUGAUGAAGGUCUUCGGAUCGUAAAACUCUGUUAUUAGGGAAGCGGUACCUAAUCAGAAAGCAACGGCUAACUACGUGCCAGCAGCCGCGGUAAUUC